UACGUAGGGGGCAAGCGUUGUCCGGAAUUAUUGGGCGUAAAGAGCGUGUAGGCGGUCCGGUAAGUCAGCUGUGAAAGUCAAGGGCUCAACCCUUGAAAGCCGGUUGAUACUGUCGGGCUAGAGUCCGGAAGAGGCGAGUGGAAUUCCCGGUGUAGCGGUGAAAUGCGCAGAUAUCAGGAGGAACACCGGUGGCGAAGGCGGCCCCCUGGACCGGUACUGACGCUGAGGCGCGAAAGCGUGGGGAGCAAACAGG
rnacentral:rRNA from 1 species